rnacentral:sRNA from 1 species
GCCAGACAUAGUGGCAUAUGCCUGUAAUCCCAGCGGCUAAGGAGGCUGAGGCAGGAGGAUCACAAGUUCAAAGCCAGCCUCAGCAACAAUAGGUGCAAAGCAACUUAGUGAGACUCUGUCUCCA